rfam:Pseudomonas lutea strain DSM 17257 Contig002, whole genome shotgun sequence.
ACGUGAGUUGGGUCCGGGCCUGAAAGGGGCUCAACGAGUUCGGCAGACUCAGGAGGGUCAUGUCGGACGUCCUCAAGAGUGCAGAA